CAGCCACUACGGUUGCAUCAGAGGCGGCGUUUAGUGUAGGAGGUAGGGUGAUUGAUGAGACACGUGCUUCAUUACUUCCAGAUAUUGUGGAGGCCUUGAUCACUUGCAAUGAUUGGAUUGAAUCAACCAAAAAUAGAAGUUGAAUCAUUGGAAUCGACAAUUGAAGCUUUAAUGACUAAGAACUCACUGCAAUUAUCUUUUUUUUGACUCUGUUGACAACACAGCAUUGCUUUUGACAGUUUGUUAUCCAAUUACAGUGUCCUGUUUUUGAUCCAGCAAAUUUAGAAGAGGAGAAGAAUAUGCUGAAAAUAAACUAUUUACGUAAUCAACCUUGUCAGAUUGAGGCAUAGUCUGUUCUUCUUCACGGUUGUAUUCUGUGACAGUUAAUUCGGUUGUAUAGGUUGUGGUUUUGUCUAUUAUUGAGUCCUCUCAAUUACCUUGGAAAAUGCUGUAGUGAUGGUUCUUCUUGGGAAACCCUUCCUUUUCAUGACCUUUAAUUUCAA